rfam:Oryza meridionalis cultivar OR44 (W2112) chromosome 6, whole genome shotgun sequence.
AAAAAGUUCAUUCGUGGGUUUUCGUGUCCAACUUUUGAUCAUUCCUUUUAUUUAAUUUUUUUAUAGUUAGUAUUUUUAUUUUAUUAGAUGAUAAAACAUGAAUAUUGUUUUAUGCGUGACUUUUUUUAAUUUUUUUCAUAAAAUUUUUAAAUAAGGUGGACGGUCAAAUAUUGAACACAGAAACCCACGAAUGAACUUAUU